rfam:Acidovorax sp. CF316 PMI14_contig_591.591, whole genome shotgun sequence.
AGGUGUCUGCGGUGCCGCCGGGUCUUAUAUUUCCUUGAACCAAUGCUCAACGAGCACGGGCUUGGUACAUCGCCAGGGGAGCGUGAUCAUCUCGCGUCAGAUGAACCCAACACCUGGCUGCCCUCGCCCACCUGAACCCCCGGUUCAGGAUGAGGGUCCGGUAGCAAAUACCGCAGACACCUA